UAAUGAGGCGGCCGCAAUCGUCGAGUUACUCCAGAGACCUUUCUGUGGACAGCUUCAUUCAAUAAGAAACUCCAUGCAUGCAUGAUAUGGUUUUCUUUUGUUUUUAGUGAGUCGAGGGAUUAGUACCGCACACUCUGGUUGCUCUCACUUGUACAUAAAGGCUUCUACAGCCAGAGACAGAAGGCGGGUUUUGUUUUCUUGUAAGUUUAGCCAUUGCUACUUCCUUGUAGACGCAUGUGUCGACUAGACCAUCCGUUCUACUUGAUUCAAAACCCCAUAUUGUUAUCGUGAUUCAUAUCAGAUCCUUCUUGUAUUACUUGGCAAUUGAGUGCCUGUUCUAUCUGUUCUUGCAUGUUCUUCGAUUGCGUGCAGGAAUUACCCUAGUGGUUUGGUUGGUCAUGAUCAACAAGAUCGUGAUCAACCGCUGGAAUUUGUGUAUCGAUCGCUAAGGCGCAGCGUCCUUGGACGUUUGUAGUCGGAUCGUGAACGUCGCUCCAGAGAGAUCGAAGUUAUCCAUCUCCACCGAAAGAUCGGGACACCCUCGUCCUUAUUAUCUGGUAUCAAAGCAAGGUUUGAUUGGUGAGUGAUUUUAGUUUGCAAUUUUUUUCCUAUAGUCCAGAAAAGCCAUUGCCCAUCGUAUAAUCUCCGCUGCGAUCACUAUUACCAUAUACAUUUGGACUACACUAUAUAUCUAAACUACCAUCACCACCCUACUUGGGCACCGUGUAAACUCCAUCCACCACUCUCUUUUCACUCAUGCGCACCCUAUAUUUUUAGGUCAUUGCAUGCAUGUUUUCACUUCCAUCCAUGAGCAACCUAUUCUUACUCACUGCCACCUGCAUGUUCCUUUCUUCCAUUCAUACAUCCUAUUGUAAGCGCUCUUGCACAUUCUAUAAUCAGCAUCCUAUUUUUAAUCAGCAUCCUAUUGCAACCACUAGAUUCAUUCCACUCUUGGGCAUCUAAUUUUAGAACAUUGCAUCCUUGUCCACUUCAUGCGCAUCCUUUUGCCUCUCCUCCACUCUUCUUUCACAUUCUAUUUUUCUCAUCCCCGUUGCAAUCAGUGUUACUGCAACAUCAUAUCACCAUCAUAAUCUGCUAGUUGUAUUUUUGUUACACUAAAGACAUUGUGUGUUUUCUGAAAUCUAAUCCAUCAAGAUUCAAAUUUAUUUUAGUUGAGCAAAGUAGGAAAAAAACAGAAAGAAACAAAAAAAUAUCAGAAAAAAAGAAAAGAAAAAGGAAAGGAAAGAAAAAAAAGAAAGAAAAGAAAGGAAGAGGAAAAGAAGGGAAGUUAUCUCUUGUUGUUCUUAUUAUUCUUGCGAUAUUGUGACUUCAUCUGUGCCCAGGCUCGCGUCUCUAGCACGGUCUAGCCUAGGACCAGCACAGUGCCACCGUUGAAUGAUUUCUCAACAUGCUUUUGUGACUAAUGUAGUGCUAGUACUUCCUUGUGCAAUAUAUAGAGCCAUCCUAUAACUCCACAUAUCAGACUCCAACUUGACAAGUGUUGUUGCUGCAGCGUUGAUACACCAUUUUCUAGGUUUUCUGACUUGUUGGUUCCUGCCACCUCUUGUUUCGCUUGGUAAGAACUUGUGAGAACUUGUUUGCAUAUGGUGAGAGUGAAAUAAUUACAACAACCACAUCCUUGUAGUUGAUAGGAGCAUAAAGAUUAUUGCGUAUGUCUCUUGUUUUGUUCUAAUCAUGGCAGGAAUCCACGUAGAAACAAGCGAUAAUCAGAUUGCAUGUUCACAUCACUUUGCUAAAGGUGUGGCAAGUGAUAAGUAUGGCACUCAUGAGGUAUGUGAUGUUUUGCUAGAUGAAAUAAAAUCUGCAUUACCUUAUUUUGAAGGAAAUUGUGAUCCACAUGCAUAUAUUAAACGGGAGCUAAAUGUAGACAAUGAAUUUAAAAAGCAUAAUCUAUCUGAAAGCCAAAAGAUUAGAGUUGCUUCCAGUGUUCUUACUGAGUAUGCUUUAAGUUCAUGGAAAUACCUUUGUAGAUUUCAUAAAGCUCCUCAAAUAUGGAAAGAUGUGAAAAGACAUUUUAGAGAUGUUUUUGUCCCUGAGUACUAUUCUGAAAUUUUGUUUGAAAAACUACAAUCUAUAAAGCAAGAAAACAAAACCAUAGCGGAAUAUUUGGAUAAACUAAAAUUGUGUGUGCUGCGAUGUGGAUUAGAAGAAACUGAUGAACUUUUGGAACAUAGAUUUCUGCAAGGUCUUAAUGUAGAAAUUCAGAACAUUCUUGUUGAUAAGUAUUAUAACACCUUUGAUGAAUUGUUUGAUCUUGCCUGUGAGUUAGAAAGGGAUCUCGCAAGUAUUAUAGAAGUACGUGUCUCUCCUAUUACUAACAAUUUGCAGCAACAAGAAGACAAGAUACACAUGGAAAGCGUGCAACUUGAGAUACUAGAUGAGUCAUUUAAAGAGAGCGUAAAUCUAGCUGCACCCACAUCAUUUCAACACAGCAUCAAAGGUAAAUUAGAUGGUGGUAACAUAAAUCAAGGUGACCUUGCAUUAGAUGAGCUGCAUUUGUCCACUAAUGCUGCUAACUUAGAGAAAACAAUUAUGGAACCAAUUACUAAUUUUCCUUUGUCAAACUUCGAUAUUCCUGAUGUUCCUAGCUAGUGACAAAGAAGAGUUGUGCAAUAGUGCAUCACCUAUAUCCAUGCCACAACUAGUAUACAAAGAAAAGAAUUCUGAAUCAAUGAGUGUCGAAUUCAAGCAUGUUAUUAAUAUUGUAAAUGAAAAUGAAGAAGCUCAAUUGUUGUCAUCUUUACAUAUAAUGGGGUACAUUGAAUUCGAUGAUCUUUGUGAGCUUAGCUAUUUAGAGAAUAAUCAGUUUUCUAGAUUUGAAUUGUCAUGCUCUUCCAAUGUUAGUUUUCAUGCAAUUGGCAAAUAUAAUUAUGCAAAGGAGUAUAUGGUACACCGAAUAUACAUUUAUUCAAACAUAAAAUCUCCUUUUAUUGUGAAACAAUAUGACCAACUAGAAGUGUGCAAUAACCAUAACCAUGUCAUGGCGGCUUUGCCUAGUUUUCUUAUGAUGGAACAGGGCAAGUAUCAAGCAGGAGAGCAAGGUUCAUCAAUUCUGACAACACAUGCUCCACCAAUGAUUAAACCGAGGACAGUUUGCUGUCAAGAAGGGGAGAAUGAUGAGGACAUCACCUGCUCCGUAAUACUUACAUGGAUCAGGAGAAUAUUUGAUUGCAUAUUGAAAGUAUGGAUGGUGAAUGAAGUUGAUUGGGGACCAUUAUGCCCUACUUGGGAGAAGAGGACAAGCUUGAGUCGAGGACGACUCAAAUGCAAGAAGGGGAGGAUGAUGAGGACAUGAGUACCAUCAAUAGAAGAGGACAAGCUUGAGUUGAGGACGACUCAAAUGCAAGAAGGGGAGGAUGAUGAGCACAUGAGCACCAUCAAUACAUCCACGCCUCAGAUUCAUUUGCAUGAUAACUCAACUAUCUAGAAUAAUGAGGAGGAACCGCAAGAAAGCAUAUUCCCGAUGGGCUAAAUUUGGACUGCAGAAGGGUCUCAACUUGUGGUGGCCACCAAGACUACAUACGGUGACCGAUUUUGAUGUUCAAAUACACGGUGGAAAGCUUAUGAAGUCUAUUUUCACAUGGAUCCAGUCCCAUGUCCAUAUCUAUAAUGAGGCGGCCGCAAUCGUCGAGUUACUCCAGAGACCUUUCUGUGGACAGCUUCAUUCAAUAAGAAACUCCAUGCAUGCAUGAUAUGGUUUUCUUUUGUUUUUAGUGAGUCGAGGGAUUAGUACCGCACACUCUGGUUGCUCUCACUUGUACAUAAAGGCUUCUACAGCCAGAGACAGAAGGCGGGUUUUGUUUUGUUGUAAGUUUAGCCAUUGCUACUUCCUUGUAGACGCAUGUGUCGACUAGACCAUCCGUUCUACUUGAUUCAAAACCCCAUAUUGUUAUCGUGAUUCAUAUCAGAUCCUUCUUGUAUUACUUGGCAAUUGAGUGCCUGUUCUAUCUGUUCUUGCAUGUUCUUCGAUUGCGUGCAGGAAUUACCCUAGUGGUUUGGUUGGUCAUGAUCAACAAGAUCGUGAUCAACCGCUGGAAUUUGUGUAUCGAUCGCUAAGACACAGCGUCCUUGGACGUUUGUAGUCGGAUCGUGAACGUCGCUCCAGAGAGAUCGAAGUUAUCCAUCUCCACCGAAAGAUCGGGACACCCUCGUCCUUAUUAUGUGGUAUCAAAGCAAGGUUUGAUUGGUGAGUGAUUUUAGUUUGCAAUUUUUUUCCUAUAGUCCAGAAAAGCCAAAAAAAAUUUAGUUUCAUUCCCAACAUAUAUAGACCCAUUGAGCCUUUUACUAGUACUACUUAGUUCAGGCAAGUUGUGUUUGAUUUACAUCGGUCGAGUCGAAUUGCUGCUCUUGGGUUUAGACUUUUAGAGUUUCGAGCUUUUGUCACGUUUUAGUCAUUGCCCAUCGUAUAAUCUCCGCUGCAAUCACUAUUACCAUAUACAUUUGGACUACACUAUAUAUCUAAACUACCAUCACCACCCUACUUGGGCACCGUGUAAACUCCAUCCACCACUCUCUUUUCACUCAUGCGCACCCUAUAUUUUUAGGUCAUUGCAAGCACGUUUUCACUUCCAUCCAUGAGCAACCUAUUCUUACUCACUGCCACCUGCAUGUUCCUUUCUUCCAUUCAUACAUCCUAUUGUAAGCGCUCUUGCAUAUUCUAUAAUCAGCAUCCUAUUUUUAAUCAGCAUCCUAUUGCAACCACUAGAUUCAUUCCACUCUUGGGCAUCUAAUUUUAGAACAUUGCAUCCUUGUCCACUUCAUGCGCAUCCUUUUGCCUCUCCUCCACUCUUCUUUCACAUUCUAUUUUUCUCAUCCCUAUUGCAAUCAGUGUUACUGCAGCAUCAUAUCACCAUCAUAAUCUGCUAGUUGUAUUUUUGUUACACUAAAGACAUUGUGUGUUUUCUGAAAUCUAAUCCAUCAAGAUUCAGAUUUAUUUUAGUUGAGCAAAGUAGGAAAAAAACAGAAAGAAACAAAAAAAUAUCAGAAAAAAAAGAAAAGAAAAAGGAAAGAAAAGAAAAAAAAGGAAAGAAAAGAAAGGAAGAGGAAAAGAAGGGAAGUUAUCUCUUGUUGUUCUUAUUAUUCUUGCGAUAUUGUGACUUCAUCUGUGCCCAGGCUCGCGUCUCUAGCACGGUCUAGCCUAGGACCAGCACAAUGCCACCGUUGAAUGAUUUCUCAACAUGCUUUUGUGACUAAUGUAGUGCUAGUACUUCCUUGUCCAAUAUACAGAGCCAUCCUGUAACUCCACAUAUCAGACUACAACUUGACAAGUGUUGUUGUUGCAGCGUUGAUACACCAUUUUCUAGGUUUUCUGACUUGUUGGUUCCUGCCACCUCUUGUUUCACUUGGUAAGAACUUGUGAGAACUUGUUUGCAUAGGGUGAGAGUGAAAUAAUUACAACAACC
rnacentral:lncRNA from 1 species